CCAGCCCCGCCAGCAGAUGAAGAUAGAGCAGGGGAUCGUUCACAACCAGCGUGUCUGGCAGGAGCGCAGGACAUGACAACUAAAAAGGACCUAAACUGUCAAAGGAGCGAUUACAAAAUUUUCUCUGAGUGGCAACAGGGUAAUGUGGCGGUGUCCUAGGAUUGGUACAUAGCAGGAGGUGAAGACUUCUACAGGGCGGUAGGGGAUAUCGGCGCUGACCAAGAUCGGACAGGUCGGGACUCAAAAGAGCAGAAGACAUGGCCAGGCAGUUCCGCUUCUCCCUGACCAAGCCCCCGAGUCUAGGCCAUGAUGCCCACAGAAAAAGCACCACAGCGACAAUGGCUGCCACACAACACCACACCAGUGUGAACUCAUAACAUAUGUUCCCUGGCAGAGCGCUGUGAGAAUGCGAGAAGAAAAUCCUUAUUCAGUCUCCUGCUGAUUAAAUACGCCUGCGCCAAAUGAGUGGAGUGGAGUUCUGGCCAUGGGAAAAAAACAAAAACA